ACGGCGAUGACGGGGAAAGGCUUCCCGUAGUACUCUCUCACGGAGGUACGGCGAUGACGGAGAAAGGCUUCCCGUAGUACUCUCUCACGGAGGUACGGCGAUGACGGGGAAAGGCUUCCCGUAGGAUUCUCUCCGUUGACCGCGGCACCACCACGGGCGUCAACAAGAGGGAGUACCGGAGUGGGAAGAUGAUUGAGUAAGCUGGGCACGGGUAUAACCACAGAAUCCCACCAAUACUCAAUUACCACAGUUUUAUUAGGUGGCAGAGGUAUAACCCCUUCUCCGACUAAUAAAACCUUUAGUAAAUCUCACCAGAAAAAAAA